AACGAACGCUGGCGGCGUGCCUAACACAUGCAAGUCGAACGUGAUUGAAGAGCUUGCUCUUCAUGAAAGUGGCGCACGGGUGAGUAACGCGUAGAUAAUCUACCUGGUGAUUUGGGAUAACAGUUCGAAAGGACUGCUAAUACCGAAUAAGCCCACGGAGCCUUUGGAUUCUGCGGGAGAAGGGGGGGACCUUAUGGCCUUCCGUCAUCAGAUGAGUCUGCGUACCAUUAGCUAGUUGGUAGGGUAAAGGCCUACCAAGGCGACGAUGGUUAGCUGGGCUGAGGGGAUGAUCAGCCACACUGGAACUGAGACACGGUCCAGACUCCUACGGGAGGCAGCAGUGGUGAAUUUUGCGCAAUGGGGGAAACCCUGACGCAGCAACGCCGCGUGAGUGAUGAAGGCCCUUGGGUCGUAAAGCUCUGACAGAGGGAAAGAAAUGCAGGGGAGCUAAUAUCUCCUUUGCUUGACGGUACCCUCAAAGGAAGCACCGGCUAACUCCGUGCCAGCCGCCGCGGUAACAC
rnacentral:rRNA from 1 species